rnacentral:lncRNA from 1 species
UUUUGACCCUUACCCAAUAAGACAAAUGACCCAUAUGAAAUUUUGUCCGAUCAGUUAAUUGACCCAUGUGAAAUUUAAAAAUACAAGAAUUUAGGUUUAUAUACAUAAUAUUGGGUCUAAAAUAAUUUCUUUUAAGUAAAUACUAAGGCUUUAGACUUUUUUUUGGCGUAGCUUUAGGUUUAGGCUUAUGUAUUUUUUUUUCUUAAAUGAUGACCCGG